AUUUACCCAGUAGUCAUUCAGGAGCAGGUUGUUCAUUUUCCAUGAAGUUGUGCAGUUUUGAGAUGGCUACAGGGCUAGUGGAUUUUUCCCCAGGUAACAUGAGGAUAUUUUUUUCCAGUCUUCAACGUGAGAACUUGGUGGACUUCUAGAGAUGGAGAAACAGUUUGAGAGAGGGCAGUGGAGAAGCAAGAGAGCUGGUCUGGAACCCAGCUGCCUGACUCGUUUCAUGGUCCUGCUGAUGAUCCCAUGGGGCUCUGCUGCAAAACUGGUCUGCUACUUCACCAACUGGGCCCAGUACAGACAGGGGGAGGCUCGCUUCCUGCCCAAGGACGUGGACCCCAGCCUUUGCACCCACCUCAUCUAUGCCUUCGCUGGCAUGACCAACCACCAGCUAAGCACCAUUGAGUGGAAUGACGAGACUCUCUACCAGGAGUUCAAUGGCCUGAAGAAGAUGAAUCCCAAGCUGAAGACCCUGUUAGCCAUCGGAGGCUGGAAUUUCGGCACUCAGAAGUUCACAGAUAUGGUAGCCACGGCCAACAACCGUCAGACCUUUGUCAACUCGGCCAUCAGGUUUCUGCGCAAA
rnacentral:sRNA from 1 species